AAGUCGUAACAAGGUUUCCGUAGGUGAACCUGCGGAAGGAUCAUUAGCGUAGAUUCGACGUGUAAUAACGUCGACUCACACACACACCUUGUGAACCAGGAAUAGUGUGCACGGCACGACUGGAGGCUGAUAACUCGGCCGCCAGUCUGUCGUCUUUAACCUUUGACAACCGUUUCUGAAUGACUAUCGAGUUUUUACGAAACAAAAACCAUACACACAACUUUUAACAACGGAUCUCUUGGCUCUC
rnacentral:misc_RNA from 1 species